UGCUCCAGACCCCAUCGCCUAUUUAAACCCGUCUCCCCUCUUCGGAGAUUUCACUUUGCAUGGGAGUUUCUUCAGUCCUUCCCUCUUGGCCUUAGGCAUCCUUCGAGUCGUCCUCAUCUCUGCAUACUUGCAUCCCUCAUAUCAGCCUAGGUUAGCCCCAGAACUUUCUCUGCUUCCGCGACCCCAUUCAUAGACUGUGUCAAUCAUCCUUCAUUGCAGAUAUGGGCGUGGAUGUAGCUCGGAUGUUGGCCCAGAAUCUCAAAGCCC
rnacentral:lncRNA from 1 species